rnacentral:rRNA from 1 species
UACAGAGGUCCCAAGCGUUGUUCGGAUUCACUGGGCGUAAAGGGUGCGUAGGUGGCCAGGUAAGUUUGGUGUGAAAGCUCGGAGCUUAACUCCGAAAAGUCAUUGAAUACUAUCUGGCUGGAGGGUCGGAGGGGAGACUGGAAUUCUCGGUGUAGCAGUGAAAUGCGUAGAUAUCAAGAGGAACACCAGUGGCGAAGGCGAGUCCCUGGACAACACCUGACACUGAGGCACGAAAGCUAGGGGAGCAAACAGG